rnacentral:rRNA from 1 species
UCGAGGAUCUUCGGCAAUGGACGCAAGUCUGACCGAGCGACGCCGCGUGUGGGAUGAAGGCCUUCGGGUUGUAAACCACUGUCAGAGGGGAUGAAAUGCAGGAGGGUUCUCCCUCUUGUUUGACAUAUCCUCAGAGGAAGUGUGGGCUAAGUUCGUGCCAGCAGCCGCGGUAAGACGAACCACACUAACGUUAUUCGGAAUCACUGGGCUUAAAGGGUGCGUAGGCUGCGCAGAAAGUUGGGUGUGAAAUCCCUCGGCUCAACCGAGGAACUGCGCCCAAAACUACUGUGCUCGAGGGAGAUAGAGGUGAGCGGAACUUAGGGUGGAGCGGUGAAAUGCGUUGAUAUCCUAAGGAACACCCGUGGCGAAAGCGGCUCACUGGAUCUCUUCUGACGCUGAGGCACGAAAGCUAGGGUAGCGAACGGGAUUAGAUACCCGCGUAGUCC